rnacentral:rRNA from 1 species
AAAUGUAAAUAAAAAUACAAGAGUAGUAAUAGUUAUGGUCUUGAAACUCAAAAAAUUUGGCGGUAUUUUAGUCUGUUCAGAGGAACCUGUAAAGUAAUUGAUAAUCCACAAUGGACCUUACUUAAUUUUGUAUUUCAAUUUGUAUACCGCCGUUACUUGAAAAUUUUAUAAGAACUAAAAUUUUCAAAAUUUUUGAUUAAAAAGUAAAUCAGGUCAAGGUGCAGUUUAUGGUUAAGUUUUAUAUGGGUUACAAUAAAAUUAUUUAUACGGAUUUAAAUAUAAAUUAAUAUUUUUUGAAGGUGGAUUUGAAAGUAAAUUUCUAAAGAUAAAGAAUUUGAUU